AGUAUUGCCAUUGUCUUCUCCAAGUAGUGGCAGCGAUCACCGUGGAAAGAAGGUGGGGAGUUCACGGAGGGGGAUGAAGCCAAGCACAGAGCUGGUUGACUUUGCAGCAAUGCAGCCACCAACUGUUUUCUCAACUCCUAUGUCGCAUGUUAGACACAAUGACUUGGAAAUGGCGGGCGACACUUUGCCGAGUCACUUUUCGCCCAUCAGCUCAGAAGCUGGAGCGAGCAAG